AACACCCUUCCCUUUGGCCAUUUUUUCUUGUUUUUUUUUUUCCUUUCAUGACUUCCCUUCCUCCUAUAUAGCAAUGUACUCAAUUUUUCAAAAAAUAUAGGUUGACGCCGCAACCGCUUCUCUUCCACAGUUUAAGAAGCCUUUUUUCUUCUAUUUAAAACACCAAGCAUAGUUGACACUAAGGUAAUGAUAGGAGUAUUGUCUUUCUUGAUACGCGGUGAAGUGUGUGUGUUCAUCACGAUUUAAUAAGAUGAAUGGUUAAGUGAGUUUACGAGUUUUAUUGAUUUAGGAAAGAAAAUAAUCGAGUGAGGCACCAAGGUGCUAGAAGGGACUGCAUCGCACAGUUGUGCCAUGCAAUCGAUGCAUGUGGGUUGUUGUCUAGGCACGACCAAGUGCUCAAAGAAAGCCCCUUAGCACAUUAUGUGCGCUCAAAAAGCUGCAUACAUGCCCCCAGGCUCUACCAAGCACACAUGCGGGUCGAUUAUGAGUUAGGAACAAAUCUUUAUGACUAAUGGCUGGUGAAGGUUGGGUAAUUUAGAUCACUGAAUUUGUUAAUAGUAGUACUUGUGUUUUAGAAAUUUUAGUUUUAGAGAGGUCGGUUUAUGGUAUCAUAAUAAUUGAUCUUCUAGGAUAUUGUAUUUAAGAUUGUAUUCUUUC
rnacentral:lncRNA from 1 species